rnacentral:tRNA from 1 species
AGUCCUUCAGUAUAGUGUAGUGGUUAGCACGCGGGAUUUUGACGAGUCUUGUCUCCAAAGUUCCCGAGACCCCGGUUCGAGCCCGGGUACGACCU